UCAAACCUUUGAACUUUCUGAAAAAGCAACCUUUCUGCUUUCAACCCCAUUUCCGCCACUUGAACCACCAUGCCGACAUCCUCUCCGGUCGAAAACAGGACCACCGUUCAAGCUUUGUCCUCUAGCACUUCAACCCACAGCGGAUAAAUGAAAUGAGAAUGGUUUUUGUUUUUUUACAGUGACAUCAACGUACAUGUAUAUCCAUGUAAAGAAAAUGGAGACUGGCAAAAAAUCAAACAACAUCCUUGAGCCUCUGAAACAACAAGUCGUCGCCAUUGCUUGAGACCUUUCAGGUAAUUAUUAUUUUUUUAAUUCCGAUGUUAAUUUUUGAGUUACUUAUUGGGAAGUGCUGAUAAUUUUUUUUUGCCUAUUUUUAAUUAUCUAAUAACUUAAAGUUCCAUUGAUUUGUUAACCUAAAUUUUCUUUAUCUUGAACUUUUAAUUGAUUAGAAUAGGUAACUUUUUUUGUUUUUAAUUUAUUUUCACCUCAGAAAUUUACUAUAUUUUGAUGCAGUGUCGAACAAUAAAUCAAUAAUUCUUUUGGCUGAAGUAAAAUCUGUACAAAAUUUAACCAUUUUUAUUGAUGCGAUGGGCUGGAAAAGAGAGGAUUUUCUUACAAAGUGAAAGGGCUUGGAAGGUUCUUUUUCUAAGAUUUUAUGAAAUUUUAAUUUUUUUACAUAAUUACUCAUUAUAUAUUUUGAUCACUAUUUUUAGUUUCUUUUCAAUCUAUAAAUAAGAGGACAAUGGACUUCAAUAUACUCAAACUCACAUCAUCCUGCAUUGACAACAAUAGUCACACCAAUUAAGUUAAAACUUAAGACCAAUUUAACAUUGAUGAAAGUAUUGUUAAACAAAAUACUUUUAAGCUUUUCAAAAGUACUUUUGGGAUAAAAUUAGCCCAAAAACACUUUCAAGAAGUAAGAUUGAGCUAAACCUCAAUCAACAUACAUAAUUAUAGUUUUAAAAAUAUUUUUAAUAAUUUAAAAAAAUUAAAAUAGCAAAAUUUCUGAAAUUUUUAAAGAACUUUUUGAUAUUUCAAUAUUUUUAUAAUUUUUGAAUUUUAACCUAACUCAAUUUUUUUUAAUUUUUUAAGACUACGAUUUUAUUAAUUUUCACAUAAUUAUAAUUUUAAAUUUUUAUAGAAAUUUUUUUAUUUUUAAAGAAUUUUUUUGCUAAUCAUUUUUUUGCUUGCAUUAAAAUAAAAUAUAAUCAUCAAAUUAUAUUAUUUAACAUAAUUAAUAAUUAAUAAUUUUAUAUUUGUAUAUAAACAACCAGUACCAAAGUUAUCAGCACUGUAUCGAUUGUUAUACCAAUUUUAAUAGGUACUGCUAUAUACAAAUAUUUGUUUUUAGAUUUAUUAGUGUUUUUAAUUUUUUUCCUAUACUUAUAGCCUAAUUUUUAGUUUUUUUUAAACAAAAUAUACAUUAAAUACAAGCAAAUAUAUCUCAUUUACAUAUCUAAAAAAAUGUUUAUAUAAAAACAUAAAAUUUAAAAUUAUUAAGUAAGUUAAAUAAUUUAAUUUUAAUGAUUAUAUUUUAUUCUUAAUGUAACUAGAAAAUAAAAAUAAUUAAGAGAAAUAUAGAAAUCUUGUACUAGUUGUUCAUAUACGAAAUUUUUAUAUUUUUAAACUAAUUUUUAAUAUUUUCAAUUUUUGUAACUUCAAUAAAAAAUAAAUAUAAUCAUUAAAUUAAGUUAUUUAACUCAAUUAUUAAUUAUUAAUUUUAUGUUUGUAUAUAAAUAUAUUUUACAUAUGUAAUUGAGAUCCAUUGCAUUUAUAUUAAUAUAUAUUUUAGAAUAAAAGAUCAUUCCUAUUUAAUUACUCAAAAAUCUAUUUUUAAUUUAUCGUUAAUCAAAUUGUUCACUUCACCCCUUUUUCUAAAUUUUUUUAAAAAUGUGUAUAUAUAUUCUCCCCUACUGAUUUAGUUUUUCCUGAAAUGAACUGAAAAAUCUCAAAAUCAUAAGCCAAUGUUCAAAGUUUUCUUAGUCCAAUCUCGGUGGUUGACUAUCCAACCGUAUUGAGAAAUCAAUCGUAACACCAUUCAAGGAAACUCCUCACCGUUGGGAUCUUACAGUACAUGCUCUGAGUUUCAAGAAUCAAGGAAAACCCUAAACCUAUUUACCCUCUCUCUCUCUCUCUUUUGUUUUUCGUUUUUUCUUCUUCGAUUUUCUAAUUUUCUCCUUAUUUUACAAGUUGUGCUAAAAUCCAGUUGCAGGGUUUUUGGGUUCGUGAGUUGUUAUUGAUUUGAGUUUGGGGUAUUGUGGAUUUGGUUUAGGUUAGGAUUUGGCAAGGAUCGACGCAAAGAGUUCAGCAACAACUAGGUCAAGUAAGGAAGAAGAUGAGGAAAAAGAUAAGAAAGAAAAAAGUGAACGAAAAAAAAGAAAAACUAAAAAGGAAGUGGAAAAUAUGUGAAAAUGUAUGGUCACAUUUAACAACGGAGUGGUGAGUUUGACAAUAAAAAGUUUUAAAAAAAUAAAAUGGGAUACAUGAUAUUUUUUAAAAUUUCACGAGUUAAAAAUCUCCCCUAUUAACGUACUAGAUAAAUGUUUCUUUUUAAUAAAAUCCUGUGGAAGAUAAUUAUGUACUUUUUUAUUCUUAUUUCUUUCCUUUUUUUUCUUUCUUAACAAAUUUUCGUAUCAUUAAAGGUUUUAAAUAAUGGUAAUUAACUAAUUUAUUUAAAAAUAAUAUAUAUAAUUGAAUUAAAAUAAGUUUAAAAUCUUUACAUCUAAUUGAAUUAAAAUACAACUUAACUAUAAUUUAAUUUACAGUUAAUUGCACGAAACAUCUUCAAAAUAUGACCUUAGUUCUAAAUUAGUCUUCAAACUUUAAAAUAUUCUAAUUACAUCUUCAAAUUGUCGAAUUUAUAUCAAUAAGAUCCUUUCGCUACUAAAAUCAUUAAUUUAAUUGUUAAAUGAUACAUCAAAUCUUAUGCGACAUAAUUUAAAAUGAAAAAAAUUAAAACAAAAAUGAAUAUUGUACAAAUGAAUGUUGUAAAAAUCUUGAUUUUGAGGUUUUCGAAGUUUUUAUAGAAACUAUCAUCUACUCUCUAUUUUGUUCAAUUUUACUUUAUUUUUAGUUUUUAAUUUUAAAAUUUAUGCGAUAACAUUUUAUUUUUCUUUAAAAUUUUUAUUUUAAAUUAUGCCAUAUAAGAUUCUAUGUGUCAUUCAAUAGUUAAAUCAACAGUUUCAAUCAUGGAAGGUCUUAAUUGGUAUGACAUCUAUAGUUUGAGGAUGUAAUUAGAACAUUUUAAAAGCUUAGGGAUCAAUUUAGGAUGAGGGUUAUAAUUUAAGGGUGUUUGGUGCAAUUAACUCUUUAAUUUAAUAGUAACUAAAAAAUCUAAGACUUAUUAUAUUCUAAUUAUUUUGUAAUAAAAAAUUGGGCAAGAGGAAUUAAAAAUUUUAAUCACAACCAAGAGAUGGAGAUUUCAAUCGAGGAACACGACAACCUUGGUGAUCCAUCAAUUCCUAGGAUUAGUGCUAAGGCUUCUAACAAAGUUCAUUUGCAUUAUGAGGACCCAUUUGAUAAGAAAGGGAUGACCGUUGAUGCUCAAGAGGAAUAUCAGGUUUCUUUUCAUGAUAAGCUACUAAAUAUCACAACAAAUUCAAAGAGAAAGAGGAAACUUGGGAAGAUGACAACAUCGAACUUUCGGAGGGAGGUUGAAAAUUGCAUUAUUUAUGAGAUUCCUUCAAUUAAGUUCUCGCAGAGGGUUAAUCUUUUGAUGGAACAAAUCAUGUCGAAGAUAGUUUUCCUUAAACUAUUGGGUCAAAUGAUUGGGUUUAAUUUUGUAUUGAAUAAAACAUUUUCCUUAUGUUAACCAACAAAGACACUUUAGUUAAUGUAUUUGGAGAAUGAUUACUACAUGGUCACAUUCAAAUUAAAGGAAGGUUAUAUAAAGGUUCUAGCUAAGGGGCCUUAGGUAGUGUUUAGAAAGUAUUUAAUGGUACAACUAUGGACAACUUCCUUCACAGCCACCCAACUAUAUUUAGGUAAUGUUAUGGCAUGAAAUAGCCCGAUUUAUCUACGACCAUGUAUGGAAAGAGUUCCAUAAGCAUGAUUGGAGAUAUGAUACGAAAGGUGAUUAAAAUUGACUAUAAUAUGGCUAGUGGAGCAAGAGGUCGCUUUGCUCGAAUGGGUUGUUUGUAUUGACUUGAAUAAUCCUUUGGUUUUUAACCAGAUUGCAGAUAAGAUCCAAAAGAGUUGAGUAUGAAUCUCUACCAAACAUCUUGUUUCCAUUACGGUAGAUAUAGACAUAUGAAAGAGGUUUGUUUGUUCUUUUCAUCUAAUGUGAAGAACGAGGACACAAAGGAAGUGUAGCAUCUUAGAAUAGGACCUAAGAGUUUAAGGCUUGACGAGUUGGGAUUCGCCAAAAGGCCUGCAAACAAAGGUUACUAGUAGAUUUAGCGAACUAUAAUCGCUAGUGGGCUUGAUGAAAUUGCAAUCGCCAGUAGACUUGGCAAGCUAUGAUCAUUGUUUUGAGUUGAGAGUCAAAAGUAGAAGUAGUCAAAGGGUAAUUAUACCAAAAUUAAGAAGUCAACUUACUUUCCUCUUCGUAACACCAUUCAUGCACGUAACUCUUUCUUACUUCUACUGCGACUAGGGUAUCCUAAGAAUAUCAAAACACUUAGUACUUAUAAAUUAAGCCUUUUCCAUUGAAAAUUCAUAUUCUUAGAACUUAAGAAAAUAAGAACCCAAAACUUAACUCUUAGAACUUAAGGUAAGACUCUGUUUCUUUAGAACUCUUAAGAAGGUUCGCAAUAAAAGUGAUUAAGUUUGUCAAAAAACUAGCAUUUGCUAACCUAGGUACGCUUGUGUUUUUGUAUGAGUUUUCAAUGUGCUUUGACUGUUAGUGACUUGUGUGUGUUUGUGAAAUUAUGAAACUAAUAGAACUGUCUACAAGCAAAAAUAAGGAAAAAGCGAAGCUUGUUUAGAGCUUUCAGCAAAUUGGUGAGUGUUUAGGGAUCGCCACAUGUAUGUAUGAACCAUAAUGUGAACCAGGGGCUUAGGGUUUUAUCCUAAGUUCCGAGAGUAAGUCUUUUCUAUACUUUUUUGUGUGAUUAUAUGUGUUUUUAUGAACAGUGAUAUGCAAGCUCUAUAUUGCGAGCUCAAAUAAUGCUCUGCGAGCUCCUCAUGAUUUGCGAGCUCUAUGUUUUAAGUAUAUGUUUUGACACUAUAAUCUUCUGAAACCAUUGGAUAUAAUGGAUGCCAUAGGAAUGUUAAUACUCACCUUUAUGUUUUGUGAUUUGGGCGAAAGACCCUAUGACAGGUUGGAGAGAUAAGGAAAUGUCGAGCUAAGCUCCAUUCAAUGGGACAUGUUGGUGUGUUAGAGAGUGUUUAGCUUUAAGCUACAUUUAUGGGACAUGUUAGACUUUUUGAGUCAAAAUGAAGGGUAAUAAGGAGAUCCAUUUAUCCAACAGUAAAGUACACGUUAAUAAGAUUGUGUUUUCUAAAAUAUUAUGAUUUGUUAUUUUAAGCUAACUGACAGUGAAUAAUUAUGAACCAGACUUCGUGUAAGUAUGGCGAACCCAAUUCAUAGUUCAAUGACUUUUCCAAAGCUUUUGUUUAACUUAUGUUUUGUACGUGUUAUGUGGUUAUUCUUUCUUAUAAACCAUUUAGUUCGUAAGAACUUACACACUCCUUUCUAAACACUGUAGAUAGUUAAAUUACACGGUAUGAAAUAGCGAAACGAAUGAUCCAGGCAAAACAUAAACACUAGAAAGGUGAUAUAAACGAAUUCUGGAUGUAAAGGCAAUGUGGAAAUCUGCUUGGGCCUAGAGAUAUCUUUUUGUUGACUUCGACAGAGGCAUCACAAAUAAAGCUUUUUUUCUAUAUUUUCACAUGUCACAAAUAAUCAGGUAAUGGGCUCACACAUAAGGUAGUUAUUUUUACCUUGACCAUGGUCAUGCUCACACAUAAAACACUGCUUUAUUACUAACACGUUGAUUCACAACACAUUGACCGAUUUUCGAUUAAUAUAACUUACCUUACACAACUCACAAAUUAUAAAAUUUUUGUAACUCAAAUGAAGUAAAAAGGAACUUACCAGAAACUUCAGGACAUAAUCUACUUACUGGUCAUUUACCUCGAUUGCACGAACCGUCACUAGCUUCUUGAGCUAAAUAAGAAACAAUCAUAACUAUCAAACCAUUUAUUUAUUAAAAUUUGAUCAUACAUGCACUAAUGCAAAUACUUAAAUCUCCUCAUCAUCACCUUAAGGGUUUCCUAGAAAAUUACCAAUUAGCUGUUACUUAUCAAUGACAUUUUGACAAGCAUUUGGAAACCUUCAUCAUCUCUCUAACUAAGAUAACUUAAAAAUUCUUAAAGACGUAGGGAAGAACACAGAGAGAAAACAAAGGUGAGACAUACUGGUUAUAGGCACUCUUUUAUAGAACAAACAUCAAAAAUUAAGCAUAGUGAGAAGGUCAGACAUCCCAUUAUCACCCUUGAAAAUUGAGACUAAACUUGUCUAACAAAAUUUGAAGUCUAAUAUUUUACCAAACAUAACUACUACGACUAAUCAGAGUGGUAAAACAUUGCUUGUACACUUAAGCAACCAACUAAACAAGUCAUUCAGCUACCUAAACAUAUCAAGCUAUCAUCUACAAUAUUUUAGUUUAAUUUCAACUAGGUCUCAACUAAACUCUAAUGAUAUUCAUCGAACUAACCAAUUCAGCCAGAACAUCUAGGGUUGGCAGAUCAUCUCAUAAAAGAGUCCUCCAAACCCUAGAGUUCGUCAAAUAGAAAAUUUUAACAAGGUGUCCCCCUAAAAGGGCGUACUGUCAAAUUCAUGCAAUACGCCAUCUAAACAUUUAACGGAUAAUUCAUCCUUUUUCUACCCUGACUUACUCAAUUAUACGCCAACGGCAUAUCGGUAUGACCCACGCCGGGUGGGCUGUUAAAUUUUCUGAAAGAGUUUUUGAUAGAGAAUUUACCAUAAUAACCCACCUGGACAAAGAGUUUGACAUAUCCGUAAUUAUGGGUGGUGUAAAUGUCCGCCAAACUUGGGAAUUCUCACGUUAUGUAUCGAAGUCAUCUGAGACUCUAUUGUAUGAUAUAAAACAUUGUAUUCAUCAAAAUAAGUACAUUAUUUGGAUUAACUUAAAUAUAUGGUGUGAUUGGAAUAGUAGCAGUCACUAAAGUUAGUAUAAGAACCCGCCAAGAGUAGUAUAUGUAUGUAUAUCAUUAUAAUGAAUGUAUCUAACUUUUAUCUUCAAAGAGAUUGUGAAAUAGGAUCCGCAAUUAGGUGUGAAUUUUGUGAUAUGCCAAUCGAGCAGAAUAUGCAUAAAGUGUAAAGAUUGGCGUAUAGUGAUUAGCCAAGAAUUAGAAAAGUAUCCGCCAAAGUCUAAAAGGAAGUCCAAAAUCCUUUAGUCAAGGAAUUCAACAACAUUGUUUAAAGGUAAUAUUGGUUGAGACUCACUAAGUUCCGUUUAACUUACAGAUGUUUAUUUGUAAUGCAGAUUCUUGAAAUUGAACUAGUGUGCUAGGAGGGACCAAGCUAGGAAUACACUAAUGUGGCAAUUUAAAGAGCAAUAUUAACCAUAUAGAAGGGCACUCUUGAAAAUAUGACGAAUGGUACUCUACGCCAUGAUUAAGUUUUUUUUAACAAAUAUUUAAGUUGCAAUGUCUUAUACUGCUUUUGAGAACCUAUUGUAUUUAAUAACGUUUCCUUUAAAAUCUUUUGACUUGGA
rnacentral:lncRNA from 1 species